CCUACGGGAGGCAGCAGUAGGGAAUCUUCCGCAAUGGACGAAAGUCUGACGGAGCAACGCCGCGUGAACGAUGAAGGCCUUCGGGUCGUAAAGUUCUGUUGUUAGGGAAGAACAAGUGCUAGUUGAAUAAGCUGGCACCUUGACGGUACCUAACCAGAAAGCCACGGCUAACUACGUGCCAGCAGCCGCGGUAAUACGUAGGUGGCAAGCGUUGUCCGGAAUUAUUGGGCGUAAAGCGCGCGCAGGCGGUUUCUUAAGUCUGAUGUGAAAGCCCCCGGCUCAACCGGGGAGGGUCAUUGGAAACUGGGAAACUUGAGUGCAGAAGAGGAAAGUGGAAUUCCAAGUGUAGCGGUGAAAUGCGUAGAGAUUUGGAGGAACACCAGUGGCGAAGGCGACUUUCUGGUCUGUAACUGACGCUGAGGCGCGAAAGCGUGGGGAGCAAACAGGAUUAGAUACCCUGGUAGUCCACGCUGUAAGCGAUGAGUGCUAAGUGUUAGAGGGUUUCCGCCCUUUAGUGCUGAAGUUAACGCAUUAAGCACUCCGCCUGGGGAGUACGGUCGCAAGACUGAAACUUANAGAGUAGUCGACGNGNGAGAGCGACGACGACGACGACGGAGGAGGAG
rnacentral:rRNA from 1 species